CAGACAAUCUUUGAUUGUUUAGGUUAAGUUAUGAAGGGCGCAUGGUGAAUGCCUUGGUACUAGGAGCCGAUGAAGGACGGGACUAACACCGAUAUGCUUCGGGGAGCGGUAAGUACGCUUUGAUCCGGAGAUUUCCGAAUGGGGCAACCCAAUCAGCUUAGUCGCUGAUUACUUGACUAGUGAAUACAUAGCUAGCAAGAGGUAGACGCAGUGAACUGAAACAUCUUAGUAGCUGCAGGAAGAGAAAGAAACAUCGAUUCCCUGAGUAGCGGCGAGCGAAAAGGGAAGAGCCCAAACCAACAAGC
rnacentral:misc_RNA from 1 species